rnacentral:rRNA from 1 species
AAACUCCGGUGUAUAAGAUGGACCCGCGUUAGGUUAGCUGUUGGUAAGGUAAAGGCUUACCAAGGCGACGAUCUAUAGCCGACCUGAGGGUGAUCGGCCACACUGGAACUGAGACACGGUCCAGACACCUCAGGGAGGCAGCAGUGGGGNAUAUUGCACAAUGGGCGAAGCCUGAUGCAGCAACGCCGCGUGAGCGAAGAAGGUCUUCGGAUCGUGAAGCUCUGUCCU